AGAUUGAACGCUGGCGGCAUGCCUAACACAUGCAAGUCGAACGGGAGUAGCAAUACUCUAGUGGCGGACGGGUGAGGAAUACGUAGGAAUUUGCCCUUAAGUGGGGAUAACCCGGGGAACCCGGAUUAAUACCGCAUGACCUCGAAGAGCAAAGUGGGGGAUCGCAAGACCUCACGCUUUUGGAGAAGCCUACGUCGGAUUAGCUAGUUGGUGAGGUAAUGGCUCACCAAGGCGACGAUCCGUAACUGGUCUGGAGAGGAUGAUCAGUCACACCGGAAUGAGACACGGUCCGGACUUCCGACGGGAGCAGGUCAGGUAGGGAAUAUUAGGGACAAGUCGGGACGACAAGGCCCUGGAAUCCGAGAC
rnacentral:rRNA from 1 species